UGAGGCCUAUGAUGAUCAACUAAUAUAUUGCCUGCAUUGCUUGAUUCAGCUGUAUGAUAAGAAUCUUCUUUUAUUCUGAGGCUGCC